rnacentral:lncRNA from 1 species
GAUCGCCCCUCACCCACCUUAGAUUCAGACCCUCUCUUAUUCUCCUUUGUACUGAGGACUUCUGACAAUUGAGAUGGUGAUGGAGCAACUGGAUCUCAUUGAAGGCUCCUUGGACGUUCCCGAACCUCCUCCCAGAAGCCCUCCUUGAUUAACCUCAAUUACUCUAUGCUCCUGACCCAAGAGUCAGGAAGAAUUUUCUGUGGUUCUUGACUCCUUUCCUCUUUUCUACAGGCUCUGAGCUUAUGCUUAUGCCUCCGCUUAUAGAGAAAUGCUGUGGUUUAAAUUUAUUUAAUCCAUUAACUUGGGCUGACUAGACGCAUUUAUUACUAUAACAGUGGUCCACUUUAUUCUUUGAAUAGAGCUCCUUACUGUUCUGCCACCGCAAAUUAUUUUUGUUUUUGCAUCUUAUUUUUAAAAUGGACCUGCCUCUUUCUCUUCCUCUCUCCUGCUCCUCCCUUAUCUCUCCCCUUCUCUAAUCUCAGGGAAACAGUAUCACCUUUCUUCCCCAUUUUAGGAAGAGUUAUUUGUCCUCGAGCACACCCACCACCGAGUGAAGUAAUCCAGACUUUGGAGAUGGUACCGGAAGAUCUCAGAAAUGACUCUCUUCUAAAUUAACAAGUGAAUUAUAACUCCUACAGAGAACAGGUGGAAUGAGGCCUUUGAGUCACCUCUUUAAAACCCUGUGUUCUUACUGAUGGGCACUGUCACUCCUUUGGGUCAGGAGUCCCCUAUGUGUCUUCUUUGCUAGCAAAACAAUAAACCUCAGUUUUCUGAAUUGGCAUCGAGGACAAAGACUG